CACUAACGGAAGGGCCCACAGUUACAUAAUCUCUGCUUCACUUGGGCUUUGCUCCACGAUUUGCAAAACAGGUGGCAUAUAAGGAGAGAUCCACCUCUUCAAAUGAAGGAAGGGCCACUGAGCCCAGAAAACAAGAUUCCCUCGGACAACAAAUGAUGAAACAGGACCAGGAGUGAGCGUACCAGUGAGCUGGGAAUUAUCCAAUGACUGGAAAUACAAAAGUAGCCAUUCCAUUGAUGUGCUAGGCACAGCAAGAGGGCAGAAAUGUUCAUGCCAAAUACUUCAAGAAGAUGCUGGAUUUUUCCCAGCUCUCCCGGUCACCCAGCAGGUUUCAUAGUGUGUGGUACCACUCUCAUCAGCUGGCAUCAGAAGGGGUUGGAAAUAUGAAGAAGCACUGCCUGGAAUUAUCACCCCCAGGAUUAAGACUUCAUCUUUGCCAGAGCCAUGAUAUUCUCAAACCAAAAUGCAAUUCCGAGAUUCUCCUAUGGUUUUGCCGCCAUGAACAGGCAAUUACUGGGUAAGACUCCUCCAGGAAUGUUUGCGACGUGUCUGUCUGCACAGCUCCAGUGGUCUGGAGUGACAGAGUAAGGUGGGUUUUUAAAUUGUGUUAAGGAAUCUUGAUUGGAAAAUAAAGAGGUCUGUUUUUUUUCUUUAAGCACAGGCUGACCCUGGGACUUCUUGCCCUUUUCUCUGUAAAUUUUAUGAUUUCUGCAAUUUCUCCCCUGUCAAAGCCAAGACGUUCCUCAUCUUUGGCUUUAACAAUCAGACAGCCUGCCCUCCCUGCCUACAGUGACCAGAUAGCAAGUGUAAAAAAUUCGGACGGGGGUGGGGGGUAAUAGGUGCCUAUAUAAGAAAAAGCCCCCAAAAUCAGGACUGUCCCUAUAACAUCAGGAUAUCUGGUUGCCCUAUCCCUGCCUACUGUUGGUGUCUGUCCCUUUUCUUUCACUUUUCAUAUAUUCUGCUAUAAGCUGUAGGUCUAAGGCAGCCUUUCUCAAAUGCGGCGACCAGGGGAUUUUUCUGCAGUGCCCAGGAGCUCCAGGGGCAGACCUCAGCACCCCCCACAUGUCUUCAACCACAGGACUCUGGGGUCAGGCUUCAGAUCCUCCAUCCCUCCCUUUUUCAGCCACGGGAUUCUGGGGGUGGGCUUCAGGAGGGCUGACCUUUCCAGAUGCUGUGGUCAAGAGGCAAGAAGCGGGAUGAGCCUGGGGUGUGAGGCUGCCUGGGGCACU